AAAAGUUAGCAGCAGCGUGCCACUAGCAGUAGUGCAGUCUAAUAAAGAGCGCUAGAGCUAUUAGCAGUAGCGCACUUCCAUACUGCUCGCUGCUGCUACGCUUGUAUAGCACUAGCGCGGGCAGACACGCGCUGCUGCUACAGGUUAGCUGUAUCGCCGUAUCAGUAGCGCGGGACCCCACGCUACUGCUAUAGCUAAAACCCGCGUUGCUGCUAGGCUUUUCCCUAGUAGUGAAGACUGGUCAAAAUCCGUGGCGGAAGAGGAAAACUAGAGAAAUAGAAGCGGAGGCAGAGAAAAAACAGAGGAGAAACAGAGCAAUAGAAGCAGAGGCGGUGUUCUGGCUGGAGGAGGAGGGACUGAUGAACUGCCAUGCUAACUGAUUCUAACCACUAGCUAGUACCUUACGACUUACAGGAGUGCUAGUAGUGGUUGGGUAGUGGUGGUAAUCCAUGGCGGCGUGCUCCCUAUGAUUAGCAGUAGCUUCGCGGAAGCGCGGGGAGUAGGUGUAGUCGGCGUCAUCGCCGGCCUUGUUGUGCCAGGCUGGGAGCUUCGGCGUCUCAUGGGCCUUCUUUUGCAUGUAGGUGUUGUAACCGGCGCGGCCACCUGCGCCGUCGUGGUGGGCCUUUCGACCCGCCUCGUCGUUCCUUUGUCAGGGCCCUACUUAUAGUUGGGUCGCUCGCCACUGAACUCGUCCAUUCUACUGCCGCCGAAACAAGAGGCGAACUCGAAGCACAUGUUGGCUUGGUGUUGACUCUGUGGACUCUUGACAAUCGUGAAUAGAGUACUAGACUAGACUAUCUGGUUCGCAUUUCAUUUUUGUUGUGGUUAUGUUGCCUGCAUUUAGAUGACUUCAAGUAAACCUGUCCAUUUACUUUUAUUCAGAGAGUUCAAAUGUCCAACAUUUCUAGCAUACACACAUUAAUACUGGGGUUUAAGCAAGGAAAAAAUAGUAUCGCCCCUUAAAAUAUGCUAUUAUCAUGCUAUUAACAAGACAUUGUAAAUUGGUUAAUUUACCUAGACAAUUCUCUACGUGCUAUAGUGUGCUAUUAGUGGCGAUAUAACGCGCUAUUUUUUCCAGGGGUUGAAGACAAACAACAGUAGAAUAACACUUGCCAUGUCUCAUGAUUCAUAUAUGCAAGAUUCUGGUGUUCUGGCCAACUUUUGCUCACGGGGGGAGAAUUCCAAGAUUGGAAGUCAUGGAAUGCAAGGCUGCGCCAAGGUACUUAAUACAAGUGAUAUGUCUAAACCAACUGUUCCUUCUUUGGAUUUCUCUAUUGGCCAACAUCCUUUGGAAGCAUCUGUCAUUGAUCAUGCUGAGAUUCCUUAGCCAGGUGUUAUAUUGUCCAUGAUAGUGCAUGGAGGUUUAAUCAGAGGAGACAAAUUCUCCUUUGGAAAUAGUUAAGUGCCAUUAGAACAAACUCUUUGAGGGGGCAGGGGGGAGUGGACCUAGUUCGAACUGUUGAUGAGGCACCGUCCGAGGAGGGGCGCCUAUUGUCAUUGAUGUAAAUGCACCAUGGAAGGCAUGAUUUUCUCCUUUUUGCAUGUAGAGAAAUGUGGGAUUAUGGUUGUAAGAUAAAUCCCCUAGCUCCAGAUGAGAUCCUUUGUAUGGAGAAACACCACAUUUGUAUGAUCUUUUCCGCUCUGGAUUUUGGAAACGGCCAAGGACAAGCAACUCAAGCAAAAGAUUGCUUCGACCGAUCUUGCCCUGUUAUUCUUCUACAACAUGCUAAACAAAGUUUGGUACUCUUGGGUAAAUUUUGACCGUUGUCCUUUGAUAGUGGAAUCCAAUCCUUUUUUGGGUUCAUAUGA